rnacentral:lncRNA from 1 species
UUAUUUCUUUGUUUUAUUGAAUAAUUACAAAACAUACAGUAUAAUCAGCACAGACGUCGGGAACACAGCAUGAAUCAAAAUGUUAUUCAUCAGGACACCCGUACAGGAACACACCAUGGAUCGGUAAAGGUAUUCGUCAGGACACCCGUACAGGAACACAACAUGGAUCGGUAAAGGUAUUCGUCAGGACACUCGUACAGAAACACACCAUGGAUCGGUAAAGGAAUUCGUCAGGACACCCGUACAGGAACACAUCAUGGAUCGGUAAAGGUAUUCGUCAGGACACCCGUACAGGAACACAUCAUGGAUCGGUAAAGGUAUUCGUCAGGACACACGUACAGGAACACAUCAUGGAUCAGUAAAGGUAUUCGUCAGGACACUCGUACAGUAACACACCAUGGAUCAGUAAAGGUAUUCGUCAGGACACUCGUACAGUAACACACCAUGGAUCAGUAAAGGUAUUCGUCAGGACACUCGUACAGUAACACACCAUGGAUCAGUAAAGGUAUUCGUCAGGACACUCGUACAGUAACACACCAUGGAUCAGUAAAGGUAUUCGUCAGGACACCCGUACAGGAACACAUCAUGGAUCAGUAAAGGUAUUCGUCAGGACACUCGUACAGGAACACACCAUGGAUCGGUAAAGGAAUUCGUCAGGACACACGUACAGGAACACAUCAUGGAUCGGUAAAGGUAUUCGUCAGGACACUCGUACAGGAACACACCAUGGAUCCAUAAAGGUAUUCGUUUGGACACACGUAAAGGAACACACCAUGGAUCAGUAAAGGUAUUCGCUUGAACACACGUACAGGAACACAUCAUGGAUCAGUAAAGGUAUUCGUCAGGACACUCGUACUGGAACACACCAUGGAUCAGUAAAGGAAUUCGUCAGGACACCCGUACAGGAACACACCAUGGAUCAGUAAAGGUAUUCGUUUGGACACACGUAAAGGAACACACCAUGGAUCAGUAAAGGUAUUCGUUUGAACACACGUACAGGAACACAUCAUGGAUCAGUAAAGGUAUUCGUCAGGACACUCGUACAGGAACACACCAUGGAUCAAUAAAGGUAUUCGUCAGGACACUCGUACAGGAACACGCCAUGGAUCAGUAAAGGUAUUCGUCAGGACACGCGUACAGGAACACACCAUGGAUCAGUAAUGGUAUUCGUCAGGACACUCGUACAGGAACACACCAUGGAUAAGUAAAUUUAUUCGUUUGGACACCCGUACUGGAACACACCAUGGAUCAGUAAAGGUAUUCGUCAGGACACCCGUACAGGAACACACCAUGGAUCAGUAAAGGUAUUUGUCAGGACACUCGUACAGGAACACAUCAUGGAUCAGUAAAGGUAUUCGUUUGGACACCCGUACAGGAACACACCAUGGAUCAGUAAAGGGAUUCGUUUGGACACACGUACAGGAACACACCAUGGAUCAAUAAAGGUAUUCGUCAGGACACUCGUUCAGGAACACACCAUGGAUCAGUAAAGGUAUUCGUCAGGACACCCGUACAGGAACACACCAUGGAUCAGUAAUGGUAUUCGUCAGGACACUCGUUCAGGAACACAUCAUGGAUCAGUAAAGGUAUUCGUUUGGACACUCGUACAGGAACACACCAUGGAUCAGUAAAGGUACUCGUUUGGACACUCGUACAGGAACACACCAUGGAUCAAUAAAGAUAUUCGUCAGGACACUCGUACAGGAACAUAUCAUGGAUCAGUUAAGGUAUUCGUUUGGACACCCGUACAGGAACACACCAUGGAUCAGUAAAGGUAUUCGUCAGGACCCCCGUACAGGAACAAACCAUGGAUCAAUAAAGGUAUUCGUCAGGACACUCGUUCAGGAACACACCAUGGAUCAGUAAAGGUAUUCGUCAGGACACCCGUACAGGAACAAACCAUGGAUCAAUAAAGGUAUUCGUUUGGACACUCGUACAGGAACACAUCAUGGAUCAGUAAAGGUAUUCGUCAGGACACCCGUACAGGAACAAACCAUGGAUCAAUAAAGGUAUUCGUCAGGACACUAGUACCUGAACACAUCAUGGAUUAAUAAAGAUAUUCGUCAGGACACUCGUACUGGAACACAUCAUGGAUCAGUAAAGGUAUUCGUUUGGACACACGUACAGGAACACACCAUGGAUCA